UACAGAGGUCCCAAGCGUUGUUCGGAUUCACUGGGCGUAAAGGGUGCGUAGGUGGUCGGGUAAGUCUGGUGUGAAAUCUCCGAGCUCAACUCGGAAACUGCAUUGGAUACUAUCCGGCUAGAGGAUUGGAGGGGAGACUGGAAUUCUCGGUGUAGCAGUGAAAUGCGUAGAUAUCGAGAGGAACACCAGUGGCGAAGGCGAGUCUCUGGACAAUUCCUGACACUGAGGCACGAAAGCGGGGGGAGCAAACAGG
rnacentral:rRNA from 1 species